CCAGGCCCUCCAUGGCCCAUCUGGCCGCAGCCGCCCACAAGUGCCCGAGCGCGCCCGCGUCCUAGCGCCGCCCGAACCACGUGCGCCCCUGCUCGCUCGGGUAGAGGAGCUCCCGAGCCGCAGCACCCUCCACCUUGACCCACGCCGUCCGGCGAGCCCCAACGCCGGAGACGCCGCACCAGGAGCAGCCCCUCCAUGGAUUUGGUCAGGAGCUCAGCCGCCGUAGUUCGUGCUCGCACAUGCCGGGAUUCGGUCUGCGUCGAUCAGAUCCGCAUGGAUCCGCCACAACACGGCCGCCCGCCGCCGGACUCCCUCGCUUGCGCCGCUGUCGUCCCAUGCAACUACUCCCGUGGUCGUUCGGGGGCACGAGGAGAAUGAUGAGCGGCUUUCCAGACCGCUUCCUCGCCUCAUGCCGCUCGUGGGCCAGCCCAUCCAGCAGCGUUGACCGGCCCAGUGCCCGCACGGGACUCGCGUUGCCAAGGCUGCGGCCUCCUCAACCCAGCCUAGCACCAGAUCUGGCCCCAAGCCCUCUGAUAUAGGUAAAGGGUUACUUUGACGUGAGCGUGCUGAUUG